AGUUGGUCUGUUCCGGGUCGCUUCUGGGAAUAGUAUCGACGUAUACGCAGACUCUGUGACGAAGUACAUAGAGGCUGUUGUUCCUACUGUGACGAUUACAACUUAUCCAAACCAAAAACAGUGCAUAGACGGCAGCAUUCGCGCAAACCACCACAUUUAACCAUAGCAAGGUGACUGGGAACAAGGACUUGUUCAAACAGACCAGUUAUGACCUCCAUAAGGCAAUUAAAAAGCGGCAAAACGACAGUACAGAGACAAAGUGGAGUCGCAAUUGAAUGGCUCAGACACCAGACGCACGUGGCAGGGACUCCAGACAAUCAUGGAUUAUAAAGGCACAGCCAGCUACGUCUCGGACACUGAAGCCUUGCUCCUGGAAAAGCUAAACACCUUUUUCGCCCGCUUUGAAGAAAACAUAGAGCCGCCGACAUGGGCCCCCGUCGCUCACAUGGGCCCCCGCCGACUGUGUGCUCCUGAUCUCCGUGGCCGACAUGAGAGAGGCGAAGGUCGAGAGCGGUGCGUCCUCCGAAACACGACCCAACUAAGCAGCACUGCUUCUUGACACAAUGCCCGCUUAACCCGGGAGACAGCCACACCAAUGUGUUGGAGGAAACACCGUACACCUGACCGUGUCAGCGUGCAUGCACCUGGCCCGCCACAGGAGUCUCUAGAGUGCAAGGACAUCCCUACCGGCCUAACCCGGACGACACUGGGGCAAUUGUGCACCGCCCCACGGGUCUCCCGGUCGCGCCCGCUUGCGACAGAGCCUGGACUCGAACCAGGAUCUCCAGUGGCACAGCUAGCACAGAGAUACAGUGCCUUAGACCACUGCACCACUCGGGAGGCUACAUUUCCUGCAAUUCUACAUAUUUUGCCAAGACUUGUGUCAUGUUAUGAUAUCAGAGUGAGAGUAACCCAAAAAAAUCUAGUGGGGCCCACUUGAGGUCAGGGCCCCUGGUCUCAUGGUCCCCGGUCAGUAUUCAGCCAUGAUUACUGAAAGUUUAGAUAGCUGGCUAGACUAAUUUACCAAUCUAAAAAUUGUUAGCUGGCUAGACUAAUUUACCAAUCUAAAAAUUGUUAGCUGACAAAGCUAAUUGAGUGAAUGUCAUUGAUUGACAUAAGAGAAACUGCUGAUGCACAACCAAAUGUCGAACUUGCAUAUUCCACUAUUCUAACUCUCAAACAGUAAGUUGAGACCCUGACUGGGGGGGAUCUAGUGGCCAGGGGCCCUAAGCGAUUGCUUAUGUCGCUUAUGCCCGGAGCCGGCCCUGGAGUGAGGUGGCAAAACAUCAAGGGAUGGAAGACAGAGAGGAGAAAGGGAAUAGGUUGACUCCAUGGAGUUGGUGCUUAAGAGAAAUGAGAGGAGACAUUAUUGAAUAACAUUGUUAGCCAAUCAUUGAUACAGCAGCCAUCAUGGAUGUCACAGAGGCUCAGUGCUCUUACCUUCCACCUCCUCCUCAUCACAGACAUGCUUGACAAAGCAUGCCCCUCUGUCCAGCACUGCCUCAUCCUCCACCCUGCAGGAACAACAGGAACACUGUGAGAACGGGGGAAUAUACCUAGAACACUAGUGGAACAGGGGAAUAUACCUUGAACACUAGUGGAACAGGGGAAAUAUACCUAGAACACUAGUGGAACAGGGGAAAUAUACCUAUAACACUAGUGGAACAGGGGAAAUAUACCUAUAACACUAGUGGAACAGGGGAAAUAUACCUAGAACACUAGUGGAACAGGGGAAUAUACCUAGGACACUAGUGGAACAGGGGAAUAUACCUAGGACACUAGUGGAACAGGGGAAUAUACCUAGGACACUAGUGGAACAGGGGAAUAUACCUAGGACACUAGUAGAACAGGGAAUAUAUCUGGAACACUAGUAGAACGGGGGACUAUACCUAGGACACUAGUAGAACGGGGGACUAUACCUAGGACACUAGUAGAACGGGGGACUAUAGCUAGGACACUAGUAGAACGGGGGACUAUACCUAGGACACUAGUAGAACGGGGGACUAUACCUAGGACACUAGUAGAACGGGGGACUAUACCUAGGACACUAGUAGAACGGGGUAAUAUACCUAGGACACUAGUAGAACGGGGGACUAUACCUAGGACACCAGUAGAACGGGGGAAUAUACCUAGGACACUAGUAGAACAAGAUACUAUACCUUGAACACUAGUAGAACGGGGGAAUAUACAUAGGACACUAGUAGAACAAGAUACUAUACCUUGAACACUAGUAGAACGGGGGAAUAUACCUAGGACACUAGUAGAACGGGGAACUAUACCUAGAACACGGGUAGAACAAGAUACUAUACCUAGAACAUAAGUAAAACAGGGGAAUAUACCACUGUCAACAUUAAUUGAUUCCGAAACAUGUCCUCAGGAUCACCAGCAGCCAGUCCACAUAUUUGUUUAAUUCCAACACGAGCACACCUGAUUCAACUAAUCAAGGGCUUGCUGAUUAGUUACCACAUUUGAAUCAGGUGUGCUUGUACUGGAAUAGGUCAGAUAUGUGGAAAGGCUGGGUCAGGGGGCCUCGAGGACCGGGUUGGAAAACACUGAGCUACAUGAUUGGAUUAAUACAGAGGCUGAAGCAUUCUGAACAGGAUGUGUGUGUCAUCACACCAGGGACGUCGUUCAGCCCAAAUCCCCUAUUGUUAUGAGGGUGACACACACACACACAAAGCCUUAGUCCUCCAUCUGGCUCACACUUGCUGCGUCUAUCUCUCACUCUAUCACCUUAGUCCUUAUUUGUGAGUCACGUGGGCUUCUUACAAUGAUCUGCCCUGGCUGUCAGGAUUAGCCUAGCUUUACUUAGGAGUGAAACCUUCUCUGAGCACGCAAAUACAAACACACACAGACACGGGAAGCAUCUCUACUACAGUUACCUGCAAUAAGAGCCUAGUUACUAGAUCAAGGGCACCGUGUUUAUUUUGAUCUGUUAUGAGCCCUGUUGAAAAAAGUAUAUUAUGCACACCACCUACCGUCUAUAUCCAGAUACAUGCAGAGAAAAGAAGAACAUGAACAGAUUGAUUAUCAAGCGAAGGUUAUAAACACUCAUUAGAUUCCAUGUAGAAGAUCUCAAAAUAGUUAUUUUAUGCCCAUGUACUCAUUCUAAGGCAACAAUGGAAAAUCCCUCCUGCUACAGGUAACCUCCUCCACUUCUACUAACCUGCUUAAGUUUGCAGACAACACAACAGUGGUAGGCCUGAUCACCGACAACGAUGAGACAACGAUGAGACCUGGCCGGGUGGUGCCAGAAUAACAACCUAUCCCUCAACGUAACCAAGACUAAGGAGAUGAUUGUGGACUACAGGAAAAGGAGCGCCAAGCAAGCCCCCAUUCUCAUCGACGGGGCUGUAGUGGAGCAGGUUGAGAGCUUCAAGUUCCUUGGUGUCCACAUCAACAACAAACUAGAAUGGUCCAAACACACAAAGGCAGUCUUGAAGAGGGCACGACAAAGCCUAUUCCCCCUCAGGGAACUAAAAAGAUUUCGCAUGGGUCCUGAGAUCCUCAAAAGGUUCUCAGCUGCAACAUCGAGAGCUUCCUGACCAGUUGCACCACUGCCUUGUACGGCAAUAGCUCGGCCUCCGACCGCAAGGCACUUCAGAGGGUAGUGCGCAUGGUCCAGUACAUCACUGGGGCAAAGCUGCCUGCCAUCCAGGACCUCUACACCAGGCAGUGCCAGAGGAAGGCCCUAAAAAUUGUCAAAGACCCCAGCCACCCAAGUCAUAGACUGUUCUCUCUACUACAGCAUGGCAAGCGGUACCGGAGUGCCAAGUCUAGGACAAAAAGGCUUCUCAACAGUUUUUACCCCCAAGCCAUAAGACUCCUGAACAGGUAAUCAAAUGGCUACCCGGACUAUUUGCAACCCCUCUUUUACGCUGCUGCUACUCUCCGUUUAUCGUAUAUGCAUAGUCAUUAACUAUACGUUCAUACUACCUCAAUUGGCCCGACCAGCCAGUGCUCCCGCACAUUGGCCCGACCAGCCAGUGCUCCCGCACAUUGGCUAACCGGGCCAUCUGCAUUGUGUCCCACCACCCGCCAACCCCUCUUUUACGCUUCUGCUACUCUCUGUUCAUCAUAUAUGCAUUGUCACUUUAACCAUAUCUACAUGUACAUACUACCUCAAUCAGCCUGACUAACCGGUGUCUGUAUAUGGCCUUGCUACUCUUAUUUUCAAAGGUCUUUUUACUGUCAUUUUAUUUCUUUACUUACCUACACACACACACCUUUUUUUUCGCAUUAUUGGUUAGAGCCUGUAAGUAAUAAUUUCACUGUAAGGUCUACAUCUGAUGUUUUCGGUGCACGUGACAAAUAAACUUUGAUUUGAAGGUCA